CCGAUAGCGAACAAGUACUGUGAAGAAAAGUUGAAAAGGCGUCUGAAAAGAUGGUCAAAAGUACGUGAAACCGCCAGCGAGGAAGCUGUUGACCGCAAGUAGGCAAACGAUGUCGUCUACGGGGCCAAGUGCCGUCCAUGUCGAGUGUCCUUCCAAGCUAGCACUUGUUACGUUCAGAUUGUGCUGGUGAUGCUAGUGAAGGGCGGUAGACUGGCUCUGUGGAUGGCGACGGGGGCAUCAUUGAGGUCAACCGACCCGUCUUGAAACACGGACCAAGGAGGCUGAGGCCGCAGCGAGUCGUGGAGUGGAAAGCUCGACGGCGUAGCGAAAGCGACGGUGCCAAAGCGUCCUAUUCUUUUAUAGAUGGACACGGCUGCACUGGCCCUCACUUUUUAUAAAGGGAGGAGAGAGCUGCGGCUGCAGGACCCGAAAGAUGGUGAACUAUGCUUGGCCAAGAUGAAGCCAAAAGAAAUUCUGGUGGAGGUCUGAACGAGUUUUGACGUGCAAAUCACAUUCGGUGAGCUGAGUAUAGGGGCGACAAACUAAUCGAACCAUCUAGUAGCUGGUUCCCUUUGAAAUUUCCCUCAGGACAGCAAAAGCAUCUAUGUAGCUAACUUUGCCGCGUAGAGUUCAAUGAUUAGAGGCCUCAGGGACGUCUUACCUUGACCUAUUCUCAAACUACCAACCGGCAAGCGGAGGCCCUGUAACUUGUUGCAAGGGUCUCCCAUAGUAGCAGCUUUUAGUGGGCCACUUUUGGUAAGCAGAACUGGCGAUGCGGGAUGAACCGAAAGCCGAGCCAAGGUGCCCAAGAACACGCCAAGAGACGCCAUAAAGGGAGUUGUUUGAUAGAGACAGCAGGGCGGUGCCCCUGAAAGUAGGUACCCGCUAAGGAGUGUCUAAAAACUCACCUGCCGAAUUGACCGGCCCCGAAAAUGGAUGGCGCUAAAGCGUGUGACCGAUGCUCGGCCGCCACCACAGAUGCCUUAAAAUGUUUUAGAUAGCCUAGCUAUCAAAGACUGGCUGGUGGCGGGUAAAAGGGCGUCAUGGUAGCUAACAAGGUUGCCUGUAAAGGUGACUGGAGCUUGCAUGAGUGCAGAUCUUGGUGGCAGUAGCACUUAUUGAGUUGAGAACUAACAAUACUCAAGGCCGAAGCGGAGAAGGGUUCCGCGUCAACAGGGCUUGAACGCGGGUGAGUCGGUCCUAAGCCAACAGCAGACUGGAUGAGGCCGAAGCAAUGAAAAAAUUGAUUUUCACUUAAAAAAUGUAGGUGCCGACAGUGUAGGCGAAAGGGAAGCAGGUAAAGAUUCCUGCACCGCUCAAUGUCAGGGUCGCACUCCUCGUUAGGUGUGCUUCGAUCACAUGCAAGUGUAGCAAGUCCGGGGACGUCAUCAACACGACCAGGCAGAGUUUUCGUCUCUGUGUAACACGUAGCAGCACCCGCCUGAAUCGAGUUCGUUUGGAGACGGGGGUGUGAAGCUGGGCGUCUCGUCAGCUAAGUGGUUGGCGACUGUGUCGGGGGCUGGCCCAUGAAAACCCGGUGGCCGUUUGAACGUUGAGUGGCCGUACCGAAACCGCAACAGGUCUCCAAGGCGAGCAGCCUCUGGCAGUGGAGCAACAGUGGUAAGGGAAGUCGGCAAAAUAGACCCGUAACUUGGGGACAAGGGUUGGCUCUGGAGGUCCAGCUGGAUCCGUGAGUGAUGAUGUAUUCGCGAGCGAGGAAGGCGCCAAAGGUGGGCCAGACCAGAACUUUGAACACGGAGGGGAAUCCGACUGUCUAAUUAAAACAAAGCUUUGCGAUGGUGCCGAGGAGUACGUUGACGUAAAGUGAAUUCUGCCCAGUGCUUUGACUGUCAAAGUGUUGCAAAACAACCAAGCACAGGUCAACGGCAGAGGUAACUAUGACCUUUUUAAGCUAGCCAAAUGCCUCGUCAUCUAAUUAGUGACGUGCAUGAAUGGAUGAACGAGAUUCCCACUGUCCCUACCACUAUUCCAGCGAACCCACAGUCAAGGGAACGGGCUUGACUGGUACAGCGGGGAAAGAAGACCCUGUUGAGCUUGACUCUAGUUUGGCGUUGUGAGGCGACUCGAGGGAUGUAGAAUAGGUGGGAGGCUAUGAUAUUUCUACGGGCAUUUUUGUCCGUAGAAAGAUGGUCAAAAAUGAAAUACCACCGCCUCCGACGUCGCUACACUAAGCGUGUGAACUACGUACUUUAGCCCUGUAGUUUUUUUUCUUGCUCUACUGGCAGUGCACCGGCGCGCUGCUUGGUAGAAUGUCAAGGCUGCAGGGGGUACCGGGGGGGGCGCGAUCGCGUCAGAUGGGGGAGUUUGACUGGGGCGGUACAUCCUCAAAAUGUCAACGAGGAUGACCCAAGGCAGGCUCAUGGUGGACGGAAACCACUAGUAGAGCAAAAGGGCAAAAGCCUGCUUGAUAUUGACCCCUAGUAGUGGUCAGAGCCGUGAAAGCGUGGCCUAUCGAUCCUUUGCAGAACAAUUUUAUUCUCAGGGUGUGAGAGCAGGGGUGUCAGAAAAGUUACCACAGGGAUAACUGGCUUGUGGC
rnacentral:rRNA from 1 species